UUCUUUUGUUCUGGGAUGUUUCACACACUGGCUCGAUCUCCUGGUCAAGAGAGAGCCUCUCUUGAUUUUAUGCUUUGGUGUUAAUGUUUUCAAUUCUUUGGUCUUUUGGGUGUGUUGUGGUUUUAGCUAUUCAUUUGUGAUUGCAUUCAAAGCUUUAUCAUCAGUAAUAGAAAUCAACAAGGGAAGUUUAAGAAAGAAAAAAAACAGAGUCUUUAUGUCUGUACUAUAGCCAAAAAGCCCAUUUUGUUAUCUUAUAAUGGUAAGAUUCUUUGCAUCAAUUCUGAUGUUUGUCUGGAUUGCAUGUGAAAAUUUUACAUCUUAGCUAAGCAGAUGUUCUCAAAAAAUAAACAAAUAAAUCCUAGCUACAGGGUAGAGGUAAGAAGGUGAGUUAUUAUAUAUGCAUACAUUGGCAGCUUAAAGUGUAGAGAUAAGAAGGUGAAUUAGGGUGUAUUUUAUUAUAAACGAGGUUGGAUACUUAAGGGGUAGUUCUUCAGGUUGUACAAAGCCUAUUCUUAUAAUCACAUUGGCUCUUGUUCAGCGAGAAGGUUUCCUUGUAGCAUGAGGUGGUGAAGCUAAAAGCUGAAGGUCUUAGACUGUGAUCAGUCUUUUGACACCUCCUACUCAUUGAAUAUAUAUCUUUAUUAUAUGUUAGUAUAUUGUAAAUAUGUAAUCUUGAUGAUCAAGUUAUAUCUAGAUAAGAUUAUUCAUGUUAAUCACUUCAUAGUGCUUGGGGAUUAAGUCAUUAAGUGAUAGGUAUGGACAAACACAUCUAUAUGCAGAUUUUAUUAUAAUUGUUUUGCUUGAUGGCCAAGAACCUGACUAGUAUAAAUAGCAGCUAUCUACUUGAUGAGUUGAUUCAUAUCCACACUACCAUGAGAGCAAUAGAACAUAACGUGAGAGUGAGGGAGAUAGAGAGAAGGGCUGGAGUAGAAUGGAAAGAAAGAAACAAACAGGAAGGAACUAAAGAGAGAGAGUAAAGGACGUGAGGAAUAGGAGAUUAGGAGCAUGAAAGAAAAGAAGAAAACAAAAGAGAGAGACUAAGAGAGAAGAGAAGAGGAAAAGAAAGAAGAAACAGAGUCAGGAUAAAAAAGAAAAGAGAACUCAUGUGUGAGACAUGAGAGAGAUAUCUGAAGUGAAGAAGGAAGGAAGAAUUAGCAGGAUAAUUUCCUCAAGCUAAACCAGCAAAGUGUAUAGGUGGGGAAGUUUUAGAUGUGAAUGCAGAGGAAAUUAUUGGUUGGUUGGUUUCAACAAUUAAAUUUGUAUGUAUCAGUCGGGAGUUUCAGAAAUGGAAAGCAAAUAGCAAUGCAGUCAGUUUUGUCCAUCAGAGUCUAUAUGAAUCAAGUUUGGAAACUUAGUCCUGCUUGAUUUACAACCGUCUCUCUUCCAUUAUUUCCCUUAAAUUUUUACUGCAAGCUCCAUCUGUCUUUCGUGAUCUGCAGCUACCAUGCACAUUGUCCCUAGCUAGCUUGUGAAUUUUGUCACUUUGUUUCAGCUUUGCUUCUCAAUCAUUAUUCAUUUCAUGAUUCUUCUAUCGAAUAUUUUCUUUUUGGGUGGUUUUCAAUGCCAGGAGCUCCCAUAUAGCCUUUGCAUCUCUUCUUCAUCACCCGAAUCAUCAUCAAGCUCCUUGGUGGUGGAAGUAUGGUAUGUAAUUGAGUAUCAGGUGUGAAGACACUUGCAAGGGUAUCAUUUCCUAUAUAUACCAGGAAUUGGAAAACAGAGGAAUUACAACAUUCAUGGAUGACCGAGGGCAUGACAUAGGGACCGAUAUUUCUCUAAAGAACCUAAUUGCAAUUGAAGUAUCCAGAUUGCUAUGGUUGUUCUCUUGCAAACCUGUGCUUCUUCUACAUUGUGUUUGGAUCUGUAGAAGUUCUACCACUUCUUUAUGAAAUGGAUUUGUCUGAUGUACAAAAGCAAAAGGGAAGAACCUUCACUAAGUAUGAAAAUCUGGGCCAUACAGAGAGAAGGCACAACACUGGAGAUCUGCUUUAAAAAGGGUGUCCAACUUCUCUGGAUAGUAUAUGCUGUGUACCCAGAAUAUAAGUAAUGCAUGAAACUCUUAAUUAAGAACAAUUAUAAUUGUGAUUUUGGGAUUUGACCUGAUGAUUAUUUCACCUUCUUCCUUUUACCUCUGCACUUGUUAAACAAGUAGUCGACUAUGUGUGCAGCAAAGUAAGACCUGCUGAAAUUGAGUUUAUGAUGUCUAAAGGAGAUUUUGAAGCACAAAGGCAUAGACUACUGAAAUUGAGCCUAUAAUGUCAAAUUCCAUCAAAGAUUUUUAAGCACUUGAAGCAACAAGACAAGCUGCUGUCGGACUUCUGAAAGGUCUACUCAGUGGAAGCAUGAUGUAUUUUUGAGUUUUAAAGGUGAAGACUCUCAUAGGAGCUUUCUAUCCCAUUUGUACCAUGAAUUGCAAAACACGAGUGUAAUUAGAACAUUAGAGGAUGACACACAGCUUGUAGACGGGGAGGAUAUCUCUUAAAGUCUGCUAACUGCAAUUGAAGAAUCAAGGGAUACAAAUCUACCAAUUAUGUGGAUCUCUCUGAUGUAUCAAAACAAGAGUUUUGACGAAGCUUUAACUAAGCAUGAAUCGUUGGGGGGAGAUGAAGAGAAGGUGAAGCAGUGGUGGAGAGUUGCUUAUAAAAAAGUAGCCGGUUUCUCUGGGUGGGAUUCAAGAAUUGUAAGCAAGCAUGAUUAAACUUUUAUAAUUAGAGUUGUACUUUUGUAUUUAUUAUUUGACUAAUGAUCUUUUGACCCUCUUCAUUGUAGUACUGAAAGUGAACUUGGUUAGAAUUCUUUUCAAUUACGGUUGCUUGGUUUGGAUCCUACAGUCUUUGUAGUUGGGAGCAGCUUUUAGGUUUAUGAUUUUGAAUAUUGGUGUCACUGGGAGACAAACAAAUGA